GAAAAUACGAAAAAUAUUUUACUUAGGAAGGAUGCACAUGAGACUUGUCUUUAAUUCUUACAGAAUUAUGAAUAAGGAGAACCUAGUAAUAGAAAAUUAAAAGAUACUAUUAGAUCUUAAAUUGAGACAACUGUCUUUGAAAGCUCAUAAAGUCUUUCUUUUUAGGAAAACGUAUAGGAGGUACUGAGCACUGCAGAACUGUUAGCUCCAAAUGUAAUUCCAGUGAAACUUUAGAGCCAGGAUACAGAAUUCAGAUCACCACCAAGCUCAUGCAAGUGGCAGUAAACAUCAAUGCCAAACAAGAUAUAAAUAGUUUCCACUGAAGUCAUUGUAUGAAGCAGCAACUGCCAGAUGCCAACAACUUAUUUACAAGAUAAUUGAAGGAACUGAAAACGUUGGACAGUGUAUGGGGAAUUCAUUUCUUAGAAAUAAAAGACAGUUGUUCAGUGGAGUAAGACAUGAGAGAGGAAGAUGGAGAAAGGACUGGAC
rnacentral:lncRNA from 1 species